UGGGGAAUAUUGGACAAUGGGCGCAAGCCUGAUCCAGCCAUGCCGCGUGAGUGAUGAAGGCCCUAGGGUUGUAAAGCUCUUUCACCGGUGAAGAUAAUGACGGUAACCGGAGAAGAAGCCCCGGCUAACUUCGUGCCAGCAGCCGCGGUAAUACGUAGGGGGCUAGCGUUGUUCGGAUUUACUGGGCGUAAAGCGCACGUAGGCGGACUAUUAAGUCAGGGGUGAAAUCCCGGGGCUCAACCCCGGAACUGCCUUUGAUACUGGUAGUCUUGAGUUCGAGAGAGGUGAGUGGAAUUCCGAGUGUAGAGGUGAAAUUCGUAGAUAUUCGGAGGAACACCAGUGGCGAAGGCGGCUCACUGGCUCGAUACUGACGCUGAGGUGCGAAAGCGUGGGGAGCAAACAGG
rnacentral:rRNA from 1 species